rnacentral:rRNA from 1 species
GAAUUUUGGACAAUGGGCGCAAGCCUGAUCCAGCCAUUCCGCGUGCAGGAUGAAGGCCCUCGGGUUGUAAACUGCUUUUGUACGGAACGAAAAACCUUCCUCUAAUACAGGAGGGCCAUGACGGUACCGUAAGAAUAAGCACCGGCUAACUACGUGCCAGCAGCCGCGGUAAUACGUAGGGUGUAAGCGUUAAUCGGAAUUACUGGGCGUAAAGCGUGCGCAGGCGGUUAUGUAAGACAGAUGUGAAAUCCCCGGGCUCAACCUGGGAACUGCAUUUGUGACUGCAUAGCUAGAGUACGGUAGAGGGGGAUGGAAUUCCGCGUGUAGCAGUGAAAUGCGUAGAUAUGCGGAGGAACACCGAUGGCGAAGGCAAUCCCCUGGACCUGUACUGACGCUCAUGCACGAAAGCGUGGGGAGCAAA